UACGUAAGGUGCGAGCGUUGUCCGGAAUUAUUGGGCGUAAAGGGCUCGUAGGCGGUUUGUCGCGUCGGGAGUGAAAUCCUACGGCUUAACUGUGGGCUUGCUUUCGAUACGGGCAGACUAGAGGUAUGCAGGGGAGAACGGAAUUCCUGGUGUAGCGGUGAAAUGCGCAGAUAUCAGGAGGAACACCGGUGGCGAAGGCGGUUCUCUGGGCAUGAUCUGACGCUGAGGAGCGAAAGUGUGGGGAGCGAACAGG
rnacentral:rRNA from 1 species